GUGCCCCCUUCUGAGUAGUGUGAUUUGUAUAGUUUAUUUUUAUAGCGUAAUUAAAAGCUUUGACUCAGAGGGGUAAAGUACCGAAACGUGAGCAGUGGCGGUGUGCAAGAAAAAGUGAAGCUGCUGUUGAGCUUCAGCUCCUCCAGUCAACCCCAAGAACAGAGUCAGCACUGCUUUUCCCUGCACUGAGCUCUCAUUCCCCCAUGUGCUCCGGAUGGCGUUACGAGCGUCCAGCUGAUGGGGGGCCACAGGGACCAUAAAGACCAGGAAUGGAUCCUGCUUACAUUUAUCAGGUUCAUCCAGGAUGAAAUGAUAGUUGUGUGGAUGUGCUGCAUAUUGAACCAACUCCUCGACAGCAAGCAGUCUGGCUUCAGAAGUGGACAUUCAACUGAGACUGCCUUGCUCUCGGUUGGAGAAGCCCUAAGACUGGCAAAAGUGGCUUCCAAAUCUUCAAUAUUUAUCUUGCUGGACCUGUCCGCUACUUUUGACAUGGUUAAACACCAGAUUCUCCUGUCAACCCUAUUGGCAAAGGGCAUCUCAAGAACCGCACCCCAGUGGUUUGUGUCUUACCUAUCAGAUAGGUCCUUCAAAGUAUCUUGGAGGGGAGAGGUGUCCAAGUCGCAACAUCUAACUACUGGGGUGCCUCAGGGCUCAGCUCUUGGACCACUUCUCUUCUC